rnacentral:rRNA from 1 species
GACGAACCGUGCGAACGUUGUUCGGAAUCACUGGGCUUAAAGGGCGCGUAGGCGGACCACCAAGUCCGGGGUGAAAUCCUCCGGCUUAACCGGAGAAUUGCCUGGGAUACUGGUGGUCUUGAGGGAGGUAGGGGCACGCGGAACUUCCGGUGGAGCGGUGAAAUGCGUUGAUAUCGGAAGGAACGCCGGUGGCGAAAGCGG